AUCUAUAGCCAUGCCACCCUGAACAAGCCCAAUCUUGUCUGAUCUCAGAAGCUAAGCAGGGUCGGGCCUGGUUAGUACUUGGAUGGGAGACCACCUAGGAAGACCAGGUGCUGUAGGCA
rnacentral:rRNA from 1 species